ACGUGGCUAACCUGCCCUUGGGACAGAGACAACCCCGGGAAACUGGGGCUAAUCCCUGAUAGGUGAAGAACUCUGGAAUGAGUCUCCGCCCAAAAGGCGCUUACAUCAUGCUUGUAGGCGUCGCCCAAGGAUGGGGCCGCGACCGAUCAGGUUGUUGGCUGAGGUAACGGCUCACCAAGCCAUUGACCGGUACGGGCCGUGAGAGCGGGAGCCCGGAGAUGGGCACUGAGACAAGGGCCCAGGCCCUACGGGGCGCAGCAGUCGCGCAAACUUUGCAAUACACGAAAGUGUGACAGGGCUAUCCCGAGUGCCGCCCGCUGAGGGUGGCUUUUACUCAGUAUAACAAGCUGGGAGAAUAAGGAGAGGGCAAGACUGGUGUCAGCCGCCGCGGUAAUACCAGCUCUCCGAGUGGUGUGGACGUUUAUUGGGCCUAAAGCAUCCGUAGCUUGCUGAAGAAGCCCUCUGUUAAACCCAACGAAUUAAUCGUUGGAGUGCGGGGGAUACUGCUCGGCUUGGAGGCGAUAGAGGCAGACGGUAUUCCCGGGGUAGGAGUGAAAUCCUAUAAUCCCGGGAAGACCACCAGUGGCGAAGGCUGUUUGCUAGAACGCGCUCGACGGUGAGGGAUGAAAGCUGGGGUAGCGAACCGGAUUAGAUACCCGGGUAGUCCCAGCUGUAAACGAUGCAGGCUAGGUGUUUGGGCGGCUACGUGCCGCUCUAGUGCCGCAGGGAAGCCGUUAAGCCUGCCGCCUGGGGAGUACGAUCGCAAG
rnacentral:rRNA from 1 species